AAAGCACCUCCAGAGCUUGAAGC
rnacentral:miRNA from 1 species